rnacentral:lncRNA from 1 species
UUAGUGGACCUGAGAGAGAGAAAGAAAUUUUCUAUAAACCACUGAACUGGGGCAGUGCCGGAAAUUGUCCCGACCCGGUACUCUGUAGCUUCCAAGGUGCUUCCAACCCCAUUCGCGCCGCAAGGAUCCCACAAGAUCGGGAAAACCGAGGCUUGGGAAGGGUUGGGUGCCCCAAAGGCAGGCUGCUUGGAAGAAACGGAGCCGACCUGAACCCCGCGUUUGCAGGUUUCAAAUCGCGGCGCGUUUUGAGAGGCCUUUCUGACCCCUCAGAAUUAUUAGUUCGAGCCCCCUGGUCUAUCCUGCUCGGAAAUUCGGCCUCUGAUCGAGGAAGCCCUGUUGGGAAGAGGGCUGGUUAUUCCCUUGUCUUCCUUCUCACCGCCCCUACUCCAUCCACUCUCUUUCCCCUUCUCCCCUUCUGAGUUUGUUACCAUUUCUUGGUCAAAGCCCCACAACAUAGAUGCAAGGAGAUGAAAACCCACAAUUUCUCACUCCAGAGCCUGCGCCUGCGUUCACUGCAUCAGGGUUCUCGAACCUUAAGGAGCUCACAAUCACGUGGGGGCUUUGUUAAAACAGGAAUUCUGGGCCCCGCUCCCGGACACCUCAUUCAAUUGGUCUCAGCUGGGCCUGAGAAUGCGCAUUUCUAACCGGUUCCCGGGGUAUGUUUUGGGAAGGACUGCUCUGUGUGUUGCGUUGAUGCCCUCUAGGUUCCUUUGUCAAUAACAAAAAACCCUCUUUAGAGGAAAGUACGUCGUUCUUCUCUGUGUGUCCUCAGCACUUACACAAGGCUUGCACACCAGUGCCUAAUAAAUAUUUGGGCUUAAUCAUGAACGCUUAGAGCUGUCACCGUGGUUUACAGAUGUUUAGCGUGCGCCUGGCAUUUUUCUGGGCACAUUAGGAGUGUCUGUUUAAUGCUAGUGACAACGGUGGGAGUUAAGACCCUUAUUUUGACAUGGAUGGCUCACAAUGGGGAUGCCAGGAACCGGGAGAGGGAAAUCGUGCCUGUACCCAGACAGAUGGAAGCCAAGGUCUACCCAAGGGACAGAAACCGCUGAGUCCCGCUCCACCAACCUGGGACAAACCAGCUUAAAGGCGCUGUUCAGGAAGACUCAGCUCUCUCCGCUGGUAAUGGCUGGGAAAUGGCGGAAUCACCUUCGUAGAAGACCUGCACCUCCAGAGUCCCUGCGCCAUGGAAUGUGCGCCCCUCAUACCCCUAAACGUCCACCUUGCAGUGCUUUUGCCUGCCGGUCCUUGGUGGGCAAAUGGAGAGACCCAGCGCCAAGCUUUCUAUAUGGGAAUCACCCCUCAACCUUUCUGAAGGAUCCAGAACCUCUCUCCAGGGCUUGGAGGCCUCGGAUUCUGGAGGAUUCCACAACUUAGAGUCAAGAGGGAUGGCCUCUCGAAACAGUGGGGGUGACCUGGAGGAUCUUAGCAUUCCAGGCACAAUCCUAGCCUCGCCUGGGAGAACUGCCACUCAGAUGAGGGUCUUGGGCCUGGUGCUCCAGGAGGAGGGAAGAGGGUGCCCCUGGAGAGACGUGGCGCUCCCAUUUUACACCCUCCAGAUAGCUCUGGGGCCACGCUCCUGUGCUCCAACUCCAUUGAGUCCUGCAUGCAGCUCGGUGUUCCCCGGCCACAUCGUAAAAAGAUUUACAAGACUAUGUUAAACUGGCAGGAUCCUCCACUGGGCUCUGGAGUUCAGAGGUUCAAGGUUAAAGUGAAAAGAAGGCUGAGCAUGGAGACAACAGGAGACUUCAAGUCCCACUUGACAGUUCCUGGCUAAGUGAUCCUAAACAAGCCUCUUAACCUCUCUGAGACUCAGUAUGCCCAUCUAUGCAAUGAGAAUUUGUAACAAUAAAAUCAAAAAGCCUCCUCUGUCA